rnacentral:rRNA from 1 species
GAUGAACGCUGGCGGCGUGCCUAAUACAUGCAAGUCGAGCGAACAGACGAGGAGCUUGCUCCUCUGACGUUAGCGGCGGACGGGUGAGUAACACGUGGAUAACCUACCUAUAAGACUGGGAUAACUUCGGGAAACCGGAGCUAAUACCGGAUAACAUGUUGAACCGCAUGGUUCAACAGUGAAAGACGGUCUUGCUGUCACUUAUAGAUGGAUCCGCGCCGCAUUAGCUAGUUGGUAAGGUAACGGCUUACCAAGGCAACGAUGCGUAGCCGACCUGAGAGGGUGCUCGCCCACACGGGAUCAGAGACACGCUCCAGACCCCUACGGGAGGCAGCAGUAGGAAAUCGCCCGAAAGGGGCGAAAGCGUGACGGAGAAACCCCGCGUGUGUAAAGAGUGUCUUGGUAUCGUAAAACUUUGUUAUUAGGGGAAAACAAAUGUGUAAGUAACUAGGCACGUUUUGGCGGUACCCAAACAGAAAGCCGCGUAUAACUACG